GUUGUGAGGUUAAGCGACUAAGCGUACACGGUGGAUGCCCUGGCAGUCAGAGGCGAUGAAGGGCGUGCUAAUCUGCGAUAAGCGCCGGUAAGGUGAUAUGAACCGUUAUAACCGGCGAUACCCGAAUGGGGAAACCCAGUGUGACUCGUCACACUAUCAUUAACUGAAUCCAUAGGUUAAUGAGGCGAACCGGGGGAACUGAAACAUCUAAGUACCCCGAGGAAAAGAAAUCAACCGAGAUUCCCCCAGUAGCGGCGAGCGAACGGGGAGGAGCCCAGAGCCUGAAUCAGCAUGUGUGUUAGUGGAAGCGUCUGGAAAGGCGCGCGAUACAGGGUGACAGCCCCGUACACAAAAGCGCAUGUGCUGUGAGCUCGAUGAGUAGGGCGGGACACGUGGUAUCCUGUCUGAAUAUGGGGGGACCAUCCUCCAAGGCUAAAUACUCCUGACUGACCGAUAGUGAACCAGUACCGUGAGGGAAAGGCGAAAAGAACCCCGGCGAGGGGAGUGAAAAAGAACCUGAAACCGUGUACGUACAAGCAGUGGGAGCACAGGUUUACCUGUGUGACUGCGUACCUUUUGUAUAAUGGGUCAGCGACUUAUAUUCUGUAGCAAGGUUAACCGAAUAGGGGAGCCGGAGGGAAACCGAGUCUUAAUUGGGCGUUAAGUUGCAGGGUAUAGACCCGAAACCCGGUGAUCUAGCCAUGGGCAGGUUGAAGGUUGGGUAACACUAACUGGAGGACCGAACCGACUAAUGUUGAAAAAUUAGCGGAUGACCUGUGGCUGGGGGUGAAAGGCCAAUCAAACCGGGAGAUAGCUGGUUCUCCCCGAAAGCUAUUUAGGUAGCGCCUCGUGAAUUCAUCUCCGGGGGUAGAGCACUGUUUCGGCUAGGGGGCCAUCCCGGCUUACCAACCCGAUGCAAACUGCGAAUACCGGAGAAUGUUAUCACGGGAGACACACGGCGGGUGCUAACGUCCGUCGUGAAGAGGGAAACAACCCAGACCGCCAGCUAAGGUCCCAAAGUCAUGGUUAAGUGGGAAACGAUGUGGGAAGGCCCAGACAGCCAGGAUGUUGGCUUAGAAGCAGCCAUCAUUUAAAGAAAGCGUAAUAGCUCACUGGUCGAGUCGGCCUGCGCGGAAGAUGUAACGGGGCUAAACCAUGCACCGAAGCUGCGGCAGCGACACUGUGUGUUGUUGGGUAGGGGAGCGUUCUGUAAGCCUGCGAAGGUGGCCUGUGAGGGUUGCUGGAGGUAUCAGAAGUGCGAAUGCUGACAUAAGUAACGAUAAAGCGGGUGAAAAGCCCGCUCGCCGGAAGACCAAGGGUUCCUGUCCAACGUUAAUCGGGGCAGGGUGAGUCGACCCCUAAGGCGAGGCCGAAAGGCGUAGUCGAUGGGAAACGGGUUAAUAUUCCCGUACUUGGUGUUACUGCGAAGGGGGGACGGAGAAGGCUAUGUUGGCCGGGCGACGGUUGUCCCGGUUUAAGCGUGUAGGUGUGUGUUCCAGGUAAAUCCGGUUCACUUUAACACUGAGGCGUGACGACGAGGCACUACGGUGCUGAAGCAACAAAUGCCCUGCUUCCAGGAAAAGCCUCUAAGCAUCAGGUAACAUCAAAUCGUACCCCAAACCGACACAGGUGGUCAGGUAGAGAAUACCAAGGCGCUUGAGAGAACUCGGGUGAAGGAACUAGGCAAAAUGGUGCCGUAACUUCGGGAGAAGGCACGCUGACACGUAGGUGAAGUGAUUUACUCAUGGAGCUGAAGUCAGUCGAAGAUACCAGCUGGCUGCAACUGUUUAUUAAAAACACAGCACUGUGCAAACACGAAAGUGGACGUAUACGGUGUGACGCCUGCCCGGUGCCGGAAGGUUAAUUGAUGGGGUCAGCGCAAGCGAAGCUCCUGAUCGAAGCCCCGGUAAACGGCGGCCGUAACUAUAACGGUCCUAAGGUAGCGAAAUUCCUUGUCGGGUAAGUUCCGACCUGCACGAAUGGCGUAAUGAUGGCCAGGCUGUCUCCACCCGAGACUCAGUGAAAUUGAACUCGCUGUGAAGAUGCAGUGUACCCGCGGCAAGACGGAAAGACCCCGUGAACCUUUACUAUAGCUUGACACUGAACAUUGAGCCUUGAUGUGUAGGAUAGGUGGGAGGCUUUGAAGUGUGGACGCCAGUCUGCAUGGAGCCGACCUUGAAAUACCACCCUUUAAUGUUUGAUGUUCUAACGUGGACCCGUUACCCGGGUUGCGGACAGUGUCUGGUGGGUAGUUUGACUGGGGCGGUCUCCUCCUAAAGAGUAACGGAGGAGCACGAAGGUUGGCUAAUCCUGGUCGGACAUCAGGAGGUUAGUGCAAUGGCAUAAGCCAGCUUGACUGCGAGCGUGACGGCGCGAGCAGGUGCGAAAGCAGGUCAUAGUGAUCCGGUGGUUCUGAAUGGAAGGGCCAUCGCUCAACGGAUAAAAGGUACUCCGGGGAUAACAGGCUGAUACCGCCCAAGAGUUCAUAUCGACGGCGGUGUUUGGCACCUCGAUGUCGGCUCAUCACAUCCUGGGGCUGAAGUAGGUCCCAAGGGUAUGGCUGUUCGCCAUUUAAAGUGGUACGCGAGCUGGGUUUAGAACGUCGUGAGACAGUUCGGUCCCUAUCUGCCGUGGGCGCUGGAGAACUGAGGGGGGCUGCUCCUAGUACGAGAGGACCGGAGUGGACGCAUCACUGGUGUUCGGGUUGUCAUGCCAAUGGCACUGCCCGGUAGCUAAAUGCGGAAGAGAUAAGUGCUGAAAGCAUCUAAGCACGAAACUUGCCCCGAG
rnacentral:rRNA from 1 species